rnacentral:sRNA from 1 species
UUGCCUGUUGCCAGGUAACUGUGGAGGUGGAGCUUAGACAGAAUGCCAACAGAAAAUAUCUCUAAUGCCAACAAAAUACCAUUUAUACUGAUAGAAUGAUGAAAUCCUACCUUUGAGGUACAACCUCACCCCUCAUCCCACAAGUGCACACACAGACAAAGGAAGAGGAAGAGAGAAAGAAAUGGAGGAGAAGCAUGGAGAAAAAAGGUGAGAUGGAGACCAGGAGAAGAGGAGAAGGACGGGGCAAGAGGUGUCAUAUCUGUAUGCUCUACCCUCCACUGAGAUGGAGACCAGGAGGUGUCCUCCACUGAAUCCCUCUGUAGCUUCCUGUCGUCCAUAAAAACUGAACGUGGACCAGAUCAGUCCCCACCCAUUUCCCAGCCCCUCCCCUCUCUCCUUGUGCUUCUCCAUCCACAGCAUCAAGUGCACACAGGCAGAACUCUUUUCUGCCUCAGGACCUAUGCACCCUCAUCUCGAUGAACUCAUGCAGUUUCUCCAGAAGGGUAGACGUUGUCCUGUCUCAACUCCAAGGCUUUCUUUCCUACAAUAGUUACUUUAUAUUUAAUCAUCCGUCCGGGUGUUUCUUUUUAUCAUCCAUCCCCUUUUCCCUUAUUCUGAUCAGUGUUCAACGGUGUCCAUGAUGAGCAAGCUGGGCAUGGAUGUACAUAUCCGUAACCUCAGGAAUUAUGGGAUUGAAGCCAGCUGAAGGUUCCAAGAAGGUUCAAGGCUAUCUUCGCCAUAUAGCAAGAUAUUGUCCACAGAAAUGAAAGGGGAGGGAGAAACGAGUGGGGGAGGGGGAAAGUACAAGAGAAGACAGGGGGGAAGGGGAGGGAGAAGGUGACAGGAGAGGUAAGCAGCCAGUGAAGCACCAAGCCCUCUGUCCUUUUCUCCCCAACAGCCCCACUGAAGACAAUCUUCUAACUAUGAAGAGAAGCGCUUCACUCUUGCUGAGCCCUGGCCAGACACAGCUUUCUGCAAUAUUCACAGACCUCUCUGAUCUCCAUGGACUCUGUAUGCCCAGUGCCCUGUGUGGCUGUUACCCUACAGGGGUCCUGCAAGGCUCUGUAGACAUCUUGGCCCAGUUAGAACCAGUGGUUGGGGAUUUCUGGGUAGAAGUCACCUUGUGUUCAAACCACCCUGCUUGCCAAGGUGCUAAACAUUACACCGAAGCUGCUUGGGGACCACGGUCUGACACAGUGCAGUUCUGUUCCCAUUCAGGGCAAUGGGAUGGGGAGGUAGCCACCCAGUGAGGGAGAGGUACACGCUGGUCAUGUGCUGGAGGACCUCCCCAGCCUGCAGUCUGUGUUGUGCGUGCACAGAGGCUCCACUCUUGUUCCAAAGUCCCAACCAGCCUCCGGUUUGUUGUUGGAACUGGAGCUGGUGAUUUGCUUUAAAUAGGCCCUGCACAGGCCUCAGUCUGUUUUUUUUAUUUUAUUUUAUUUUUUUUAUUGAAUGAGUCCUGAAGGUGCUUUCCAAGAAAUAAGGAAAAACCAACCUUACAGUGGGGACUCUGAGCUGAAAGGAAGGUGGCAGAGCCUUUCCCUGCAGCUGGAAGGCUGUAGCCAUGCAAAGUGUGGCCUGGGAGGCAGAAGGCUUGAUAGGAGUCUUCAGGGAGCCACGGAGCCCAUGGAGGGCAAGCCUCUCUCUCUCAAGCAUGGGACACUGCAAUCUGCAGCACUGUUAUGUGCUUCUGGGCACACAAGGAGGACCACACGCGUGUUUCAUGAACAUUCUGAGCUGGUGAGCAAAGAGCCUCUGAGGUGAGCUCAAAGGACAGGAAACAGUGUGUUCCAGGGUUAUGUGGGGCUGUGGGUGAGAGGCUGUUGGAAGGCAGAUCCGUCACUGUGGGAAGGUGUGGCUGAGCAUGGCGGUGGGAGCAGGUGGCAGAGGACAGCUGUUUGCAUCAGAGCAGACAGGAAGUGAAAAAGGGGAGGCCAGAGCCUAGGAAACAUGGCUGGUGUCCUCGAACAUCCCCUCAGGGUGAGAGAGGCAAAGAGGUCAAACGAGAUGGUUAACCGAAGCCUGAAGGUGAGAGAAAGCCAGUCAAGCAGCCUUCUGAGAGAAGGCCCCAGGCCAGGCCAGCUGCCGGUGAUGGAGAGGACCAAGGGGGUGAGAAGCAGGCAGAGGAGGAAGGCAUGGGAUGUCACCAAGGGCCUUGGAGGCUGUGUUGAUUUGAAUAAGAAUGGCUCCUGUGUUUGAAUGCUGAAUCAUCAGGAAGUGGUACUAUUUGAGAAGGAUUAGGAGGUGUGGUCUUGUUAGAGUAGGUGUUGCUUUGUUGGAAGAAAGUAUGUUGCUGAGGUAGGUGGUCUUUGAGAUUAAAAAGCUCAUGCCAGACACAAGUCUCAUAUUCUCUCUCUCUCUCUCUCUCUCUCUCUCUCUCUCUCUCUCUCUCUCUAUCUCUAUCUCUAUCUCUUCUCUCUCUUCUCUGCUGAAGAUCAGGAUAUAGCUGCCUCUCCAGGACCACGUCUGCCUGUUGCCAUGCUCCCUGGUGUGAUGAUAAUAGACAUUGUAAGCCAGCCCCCCCCAGCCUUUCACAUCAUUCCUCCUCCCCACAGCCCCUCAGCUCUGAGCAUCCGCAGUUCUUCCUUAUCUGUUUAGCUCUGACCUCACCGUUUGGUUUUGGAGAGCUGGAGCUUCUGGCUACUCCUUUCAUCAGCAGAGAUUUCUCCUCCCCCUGUUCUCCCUAGCCCACCGUGUCCACGAUUUAAGUACCGCCGUGCACCUCACUACCUCGGGGAAAACUCUUCUCCCAGGUUUCUGCAGGUUUCUCCCAAGUUUCUGUGUUGUAUGGAAGGGCUGUGUGUUGUGUGAAACUUUCCCUACGGAGACCACGUGCACACACACAAACACACCUGCUCGCCCCAGAUAGGGAACCCACGAUAGGCCAAAGGAAUAACUACACCAAAGUCCAGCUUGUUGAACCAGUGAGUUUACUGGGCUUACUAACAGGAGUGUGUGUGAAGGGUUACUUACAGGAGCAUGGAUGAGUUGAAGGUAUCUGUACCGCUGAGAGCCCAUCCCAGCAUGGGUGAUGACCCAGGAAGGCUUGACCCUGGGGCUGUUUUCAGGGCUUGCGGGCGCCUCUGUGGACUGGAGAAGCUUUUCCAGGCAGUCUUUCAGAUCAGAAUCCACUCCCCUGUCAGCUGUUUGCUGCUUCUGUGAUACCGGGGAGGCCUUCCUGAAUCUUGUGAGUGAAAGCGUCAAUCCGUACACUGUUAUACGCAAC